GGCCCCACCCCUCCCGCCCAUCUCCCUCUGCACCGCCCUCCCGCCCAUUCCAGAGCAGUGGAGGCCCGCCCUUUUCAUCUACAGCCUAUCUCAGAGGACGUUGCCGUUCGCGCUGACCAAUAGGAGUGGUGGCCUUCACGGCAAGCCCCGCCCCGCGCCCUACGUCGGGUUCAGUGGCGUCCCUGGCCAGCCCCACGCUGAUCAUACGCCAUGUGGCACUGUGGCGCGCGGCGGGGCUGUGUGCGCUGAGGCUGCUGAGCAGUGGAGACAGGAUCUUGCUCUCUUGCCCAGGCUGGUUUUAAACUCCUGGGCUCAAGUGAUCCCCCUCCUCAGCCUCGCACACUGCUGGGCUUACAAGUGUAAGCCAUCUCAUCCAGGUAAGAAUAAUUAGAAAAUAAGUACGUUGGGCGCGGUGGCUCACACCGGUAACCGCAGCAUGUUGAGAGGCCAAGAUGGGCGGACCACUUGAGGUCAGGAGUUUAAGACCAGCCUGGCCAACAUGGAGAAACCCCAUCCCUACUAAAAAUACAAAAAUUAGCUGGGCGUGGUGGUGAGCACUUGUCGUCCCAGCCACUCAGGAGGCUGAGGCAGGAGAAUUGCUUGAACCCAGGAGGUGGAGGUUGCAGUGAGCCGAGAUUGCACCACUGCACUCUAGCCUGGGCAACAGAGCGAGACUCUUGUCUCCAAAAAAAAAAAAAAAAAAGUGUCCCCAUGACCAAACUGAAGAUUUCCCCUAACUGCUCAUAAUCCUCUCUCUCCCUCUGAGAUUACCACUGUUAGAUUACCAUAGAUUCUCCCUCUUAGAUUACCAUAGAGAAAUGUCCUUGCUUUUUAAAAAUAUUUUACCAUCUCUAUGCAUUCUGACAGUAUCUUGUUACCUGUUUGAAUAAUACCUGUUUAGGAUAAUACUGUAUCGUGUGUAUCUUUUGUUUAACAUUAUGUGACCCGCAUCUUUGUUACAUGCAUCUUUGUUACAGUUGUAGGCCCUUUUAUUGGUAAGUUUCUUUUUUUUUUAUUGAAUGAUUAGUCCGCAGUUUAUCCAGUCACUGUUACACCUCCAGGUGAGUUGAGUUUGGGACUGUCAGAGUUCGUGCUGACAAUCUUGUGAGUGCUGGGGCAGCAGUGUAAGGUGUGGAGGAUAUAGACCAAGAGGUGAACGGAUUUCCAGUAUUCAGAUUUUUUUUUUUUUUUCUUUUUUUGACGCCCAGGCUGGAGUGUAGUGGCGUGAUCUCGGCCCACUGCAACCUCCGCUUCCCAGGUUCAACGAUUCUCCUGCCUCAGCCUCCCAAGUAUCUGGGACUAUAGGCACCCGCCACCAUGCUUGGCUAAUUUUUGUAUUUUUAGUAGAGACUGGGUUUCACCAUAUUGGCCAGGCUGGUCUCGAACUCUUG
rnacentral:lncRNA from 1 species